CAUUGGCCAAGAACAAGAUAAAUCAUUACUGCUGCGCAUUUUUGUUGCUUGUGGAUAAGACGUGUCAUUUUUGUUUAACUUUGAAUAAGAACGCCAAAACAGGUAGCACAUGCGCAAACAACGGGCGGACUUUCCAGCGCACAAAGGAAAACCCACCACCACCCAAGGAAAAUCAUUGGCCUUCCAGGGAGAAAUCGCGAGAGCCCCAAAGUGCUCCGCUAUUUGAGCCAUCGACAUUCCGCUGCUCCGUCAGUUUUCAGAGGACCUUCGAACGUGCGAAUAGCAAAGAAUAUUGUUAAAAUUUACAUAACACGAGCCGAGCGUUGAAAGUGAAACUUCUGUGGUGCGAGACACUGAAAGAAAGAAAGGCCCAUUACGAAAAGUGUAAUAAAAGUAACCAAGGAGCCCACGGAGCGGGAGAGCAGCGUUUGCAGCAAGGAGAGUCAAGUACAGACACUAGAGAGUUAUCCUGCCAGUGACUGAGAGCCGAACGUGCGCACGUUUUCCGAUUGGGAGUACAGGCUAAUCCUUGGUAGCAUCAACAGUAAUAGUAGCAGAAGCAGCAGCAGCAGCAGGAGGAGGAGCCCUAGGAGCACCAGAAACACAAAAAAGCAAACAUGUUCUCGGGACUAACAAAUCAAUUUACAUCGCUGGUGGGAGCCGUGAAGGGCGGCGCCGGCGAUGAGGAUGUACCAGCACCCACAGGAGAAGCGGCCGCAGCCGCACAGACCGCCGCAUCCACAUCCUCGGAAGCGGUGGCCGCCGCCGCAGAUCCGGAGGCAGCAGCCGCCGCUGGCGCCGAGGGACUCGAGGGCGAGGAAGCUGGCAAAAGACUUCCCAAAUCCUCAUCCCUGGUUGAUUCAUUUGUCACAGAAGCCACCGGAUGGCUGGGCAGCGCCAAGGGUUGGCUUGGAAAUGCCUCGAUACCAUCGAUGCCAGCCAUGCCGGCUAUGCCGUCGAUGCCAUCGAUGCCAGCCAUGCCAGCGAUGCCGUCGAUACCAUCGAUCCCGGGACUGCGCAAAGCCGGAGGAGCCGAAGGAGCUGAGGGCGCCGAGGGAGCUGCCGCUGGAGAGGGUGGCGCCGCCGGCAGCGGAGCCGUGAGUGGUGGCGAGGAUGACGACAAGUCGAGGUAUAUUAGCGCCACAGAGGGCGCCGACUCGCAUCCAGCUUCGGGCGGUGGCACGCCCACCGGCGACGAGGGUCAAAUCGGACAGGGUAAGGGCGAUGAAGUCAAAAUUACCACAAAAGUAACACAGCAAGCCAAACACUUUGGAUCCUUCUUGUCAUCGGCCAUCAGCAAGGCUGGCAGCAAAAUCAAGGAAACCGUCAAGGAUAAUACUAUUCUCGACUCGUUCAAUAAGGAGCAGGAGGCCUUCAUUAAAGGCCAGGGCGGUGUUGGUAAUGGAGCUGCUCCCUGGAUAGGUCAUGCCAACGAGGCCAAGAUCAAGGAGGAGAUCCUGGGACUGUCACAGGACCGUCGCAACUUCGUGCGUGCCCCGCCAGCUGGUGUGGACUUUGAGUUUAGCUACGAUACCGCUUAUCCCACGGCCAUAGCCAUUAUGGCUGAGGACAAGGCGCUGGAGACGAUGCGAUUCGAGCUGGUGCCCAAGAUCAUCACUGAGGAGAACUUCUGGAGGAAUUACUUCUAUCGCGUCUCCCUAAUCAUCCAGGCCGCCGAGCUGGGCACCCUGGGCGCUGACGGUGUGGGCCAGGCCUCCAGCGGCGAAGAUGAAGAUUGAAUGGAUUAAAAGCAAAAUACAAAAUAAAUCUAAAUUUCAAAAUGCAAAAACAAAACAAAAAUACAAUACCAAAAUAAACAAGAACAAAAUUAUACAAAAAAUACUACAAAAUUGCCCACAAGAAAGAAAAGAAAUUGUUAAGCGAACAUAAAAGUACUACAAGAAACAAAAUUAUAUACAUACUUAUAAAUAUAUUACUUGACAACCAAGCAAUUUUGAGUUGAACCCAAAAAGUCGCAUAUUUUAAAAAACUGAAGAAAGAAAAACCCAAGAACCGAUACUAAAAACAAUAAAAAAAACCGAAACUAAAUUUUGUGUGAGGAACAAUGGGAAAAGGAUCUGGAAGCCGAGCUCAAGGACUACGAAGUUGUUGAUGAAGGCGGCACCAGCGGCGGCGGCGGCGGCGGUGGAAGCAGAAAAGGCCGAAGGACGAAGAACGAGGAGGAGGUGGACGAGGAGGAGGACGAACCGACAAUAUCAAACUUGCGCACACGCUCAACUAACAACGAAUGGGAGGAGUACGCCGAUUUAAUUGAGGAUACCGAUGAUUUAAAGU
rnacentral:misc_RNA from 1 species